rnacentral:rRNA from 1 species
AGUGAACGCUGGCGGUAGGCCUAACACAUGCAAGUCGAACGGCAGCACAGUAAGAGCUUGCUCUUACGGGUGGCGAGUGGCGGACGGGUGAGGAAUACAUCGGAAUCUACUUUUUCGUGGGGGAUAACGUAGGGAAACUUACGCUAAUACCGCAUACGACCUACGGGUGAAAGCAGGGGAUCUUCGGACCUUGCGCGAUUGAAUGAGCCGAUGUCGGAUUAGCUAGUUGGCGGGGUAAAGGCCCACCAAGGCGACGAUCCGUAGCUGGUCUGAGAGGAUGAUCAGCCACACUGGACCUGAGACACGGUCCAGACUCCUACGGGAGGCAGCAGUGGGGAAUAUCGGACAAUGGGCGCAAGCCUGAUCCAGCCAUACCGCGUGGGUGAAGAAGGCCUUCGGGUUGUAAAGCCCUUUUGUUGGGAAAGAAAAGCAGCAGGUUAACACCCCGCUGUUCUGACGGUACCCAAAGAAUAAGCACCGCCUAACUUCGU